rnacentral:rRNA from 1 species
GACGAACGCUGGCGGCAUGCCUAAUACAUGCAAGUCGAGCGAACAGAUGAAGUGCUUGCACUUCUGACGUUAGCGGCGAACGGGUGAGUAACACGUAAGGAAUCUACCUAUAAGCGGGGGAUAACAUUCGGAAACGGGUGCUAAUACCGCAUAAUAUCUUCUUCCGCAUGGAAGAAGAUUGAAAGACGGCUCGGCUGUCACUUAUAGUUGACAGUGCGGUGCAUUAGUUAGUUGGUGGGGUAACGGCCUACCAAGACGAUGAUGCAUAGCCGACCUGAGAGGGUGAUCGGCCACAUUGGGACUGAGACACGGCCCAAACACCUACGGGAGGCAGCAGUAGGGAAUCUUCCGCAAUGGGCGAAAGCCUGACGGAGCAAUGCCGCGUGAGUGAAGAAGGCCUUCGGGUCGUAAAACUCUGUUAUAAGAGAAGAACAAAUUGUAGAGUAACUGCUACAGUCUUGACGGUAUCUUAUCAGAAAGCCACGGCUAACUACGUGCCAGCCGCCGCCGUAA